CUUUCUCACUUCCUGACUGAGGCUGAGUGCUGCUGAACAGAGGUGCGGAGCUGCAACAGACUGAAAUAAGGGAUACUGUCAAAAGAGGUAAUUUAUUAUGGCUACUAUAUAAGGUAUAUCUUCUCAGAUGAUUCUUCCAAGACUGUAUUUGAGGAGAGGCUGCGGUCCGAGCGCCGAAGGGGAGAAAGAAGAACUCGACAGAAAACUCAUGAACAUCCAUCAAGAGGAAAACAUCUCAUCUACUGAGACUUCAAUGGGAGGACAGAGGUGGAAGCCAUUCUCCUCUUCCUGCUCCUGAUACUAAAACAACAGACCAAGCCCAGAUCAUCUCCCUGGUCUAAGUCAUCAUUAUCUAACCUAUCAGCAACCAGCAGAGAGUGGGCAGGAUUUCCAAGCCAUGGUGAUAGAGCUCAACAGCAGAAUCUCCCGGUUAUGGUGAUAGAUUUCAGUCUGUGGAAUCGCCCAGCCACGGUGGCAGAGAUCAAUGGGCAGAAUCUCCCAGUCAUGGGUGUAGUGAUCAGCAGAUUCCCAUCUUACUGUAGAGGAUGAAGCAACACAAUCGUGUGUUAUCUGUUUAAUGUAGUACGAAAAUGGAGAGACGGUGAUUGUCCUGCCCUGCAGCCACAAAUAUCAUACAAGUUGCAUAUACCAGUGGAAAGACACAAAUCCCAGCUAUCCUGUGUGCUGCAGAAAGUGCAUCCCGAGGCCCGUUAUGUGUCAGGUCUCCUGAGUACAGCAGGAAGAUGAAGAUCUAAAUCACCGUUUAUUGUGUUAUUUCCUCCUGUAUCUCUCCCCUCAGCUGUUAUCCUGUUUCCCUCUGUUUCCUUCUCAUUUACCUCUUUUCUCACUCUUUCCAUAUUUCUCCCUGUUUCUUUUCCUUUCCCUCUUCCCUCCAUUCCAUACUAUCCCCCUCUCUGUGUAAUCCUAUCAGCAUUCCGCCAACUACGAUCUCCCCUGCACUUCCCACCCUUUUGCGGCCUAGGGUGGAUGUACUCACAGACUCAAUUAGCAUACUGGGCCUGAUUAAUGCCCUUUGCUGUAGUGGUGCAUGUAGCAAAGAACUGAUGUUUAGUACCUUGCACAUGUGUCGGAUCUAUACUGUGCAUGUGCAGUAAAGAUUGGAGGAGGUUUACAUAGUAUUGGUUUGGUCUGGUCUGGUAUGGUGGCAGCUGCAGUUCUUAGGGAACCUGGUGUUGGCCGGUUUCAGAAUAGACUGUGAUAUUAAGGGUAGUUGUGGUGUUUCCCAGUGGUGCAGCCCAUGCCAUGGAGGAGGCUAGGCAUGGAUAUCAGUUUAGUUCAAGAGCACCACCUGACCAGGUGGGUCUUUUGCCUCUCUGGGAAUGGGUUAGUGCCUCAAGUUGAUGUCUGCUUGUUAUGUUGUCCCCAUAAGAGGUUGGGCAGAUGGCCUUUUCCCUUUGCGAGUUGCUGUCCCCAUAAGGAGUUGGUAGAUAGCCAUUACCCUUGUGAGUUCUUUGGUGGGGAUGAGGGUAGGUGGCCUCAUCCUUGCAAUUUGUGGGCAGUUGACCCAUUUGGUUUGUUAUGUUAACAAGUUACUGCUUUAGCUAGGCAGUUCUUCCCCUGCCAUCAUACCUAAUUUUAAGCAAAAUUUUUGAAAUCCCUUCAAAUAAAAAGCUGACCCCUUUCACGCCAA